UACGUAGGGCGCAAGCGUUGUCCGGAAUUAUUGGGCGUAAAGAGCUCGUAGGCGGUUUGUUGCGUCGGCUGUGAAAUCCCGGGGCUCAACCCCGGGCGUGCAGUGGAUACGGGCUGGCUGGAGGCAGGCAGGGGAGAACGGAAUUCCUGGUGUAGCGGUGAAAUGCGCAGAUAUCAGGAGGAACACCGGUGGCGAAGGCGGUUCUCUGGGCCUGUACUGACGCUGAGGAGCGAAAGCGUGGGGAGCGAACAGG
rnacentral:rRNA from 1 species